rnacentral:rRNA from 1 species
AUUGAACGCUGGCGGCAGGCUUAACACAUGCAAGUCGAGCGAGCGGCGGACGGGUGAGUAAUGUCUGGGAAACUGCCUGAUGGAGGGGGAUAACUACUGGAAACGGUAGCUAAUACCGCAUACCAUCAGAUGUGCCCAGAUGGGAUUAGCUAGUAGGUGUGGUAAUGGCUCACCGAGGCGACGAUCCCUAGCUGGUCUGAGAUGAGGACCAGCAACACUGGAACUGAGACCCGGUCCGGCCGACAACGGGAGGACGCUGGGGGCAAUAUUGAACACUGGGGGCAAGCUGGUUGAAGACAGGCGGGGUGUGUGAAGAGGGCCUUCGGGUUGUAAGGUACUUUAGCCGAGGAGGCGUUACUCGAAGAAGAAGCACCGGCUAACUCCGUGCCAGCAGCCGCGUUAAUAC